rnacentral:rRNA from 1 species
GAUGAACGCUGGCGGCGUGCUUAACACAUGCAAGUCGAACGGAAAGGCCCAAGCUUGCUUGGGUUCUCGAGUGGCGAACGGGUGAGUAACACGUGGGUGAUAUGCCCUGCACUUCGGGAUAAGACUGGGAAAAUGGGGCUAAUACCGGAUAGGACCUCUUCAUGGACGUUGUGGAGGAGAGUUUUUCGGUGUGGGAUGAUCUCUGGGCCGGUCAGCCUGUUGGUGGGGUAAUGGCCUAGCAAGCCGUCGACGGGUGGCCGGCCAGAGAGGGUGUACGGCCACAUUGAGACUGCGAUGCGAGGCAGACGUCGACGGGAGGCAGCAGUGGGGAAUAGUGCACAGGGGGCGCAAGCCUGAUGCAGCGACGGCGCGUGGGGCGUGACGGCCUUCGAGUUGUAAACUCCUUACGCGAGGGACGAAGCGUAUUUUGUGACGGUACCUGGAGAAGAAGCACCGGCUAACUACGUG